CAGGGAUCAGGCUUCUCUAUUAGGGGUCCUAGUCAACAGGAGAGUUGCAUUUUUAAUAAUUACUAGGAGCCAUGAAGAACUAAUCCAUUGUUUCAGUUUGUACUACUGCCUAGUUAAUUAUUUAGAAAUGAUUUAUUAAAAACAAGAAGUGAGGAAACCAUCAUGCUAAGCAGGCAAUUCUGGACAAGAGACUUCUUUCAAGCAAACUGGGCCUUACUGUAAUCCUUCCAAACUGAACAUUGAUUAAGCUCAAAAAGCCUCAUCUUCAAGAUUACCUGGGAUUUUAUUAACUGAUUUUUCUAAGCCUCUGGCUUCUUUCUUCCUCACUAAACAUCAAUUUGAACAACUACCUACACGCAAAAAUACCUACACAACAGUGAAGGAAACCAGGUCUUCUGAGAGCAUCUAUGGGAAUUAUCUGGG